GGUAAUACGACCCUGAGCAAGCAUUGUUCUGGAUUGUAUAACAAUGGAAUUCCGACCCGAUUAAAGAAGAAGGUAUAAAGUCCUUGUGAGUUGGUUGUUGUUGAUCGUAGCACUGAUUGGGAAAGCCCACAAACAA